UCACAAAAGCUAUUAACUAUGCUGUCAGACCUGAUGAGAGCUGUUAACGAACUCCGUGAGGAGGUCAGAGCCAUCCGCCAUCCCUGCUGCAAUGAAUCGGUAGAUGCUGGGGUACUGCCUCUGGAUUUGCCCUUGCACAACAUUGAGGAGCUAAACACUGCAGAGGCAGCUCUUCAAUCACAAGAGGCAAAUAAGGCAAUGGUGAGACGCUUUGCCUUGAUUGGAGGGACCACACUGGAGGUGCAAGUCCGCCCAUUACACGGCGGACUCGGUACUAAACUGGGCAGGUAAAAAAAACAAGGACCAGACAAAGCAAAAAAUGUCAUUUAAAGAUACAGCGCUCUGCAAAUGCAUAUUUGGUAAGUUUUACCGUUUUUUUGCUAUAUUACUUUGUCUUUCUUAAUAACAAGACUUUCAUGUCCGGUUAAUCUGGAGAUGGAGUCUUUGGUCUUUGGCUUGUUUAGUCCACGGGUUGUAGUUUGUACAGCCUGAGGACCCCAUGUUUAUUUUGUUUUAAAGGAUACACAGCACACCAUGCUAAGACUUAUCACUUUUUCCGCUCAUAGCUCUUUGGGAAUCAAAUGCGGCAGUUUGCAGAUUUACGCCUGGUGACUUUCAUGUUUAGGAGUUUACAUACUUUCUCCCCGCUGAAGACAGUUAACAAGAGCUUAUUCAUGUGCUCUAAUUCACUUUUUUGUUUGUGUGUGUGUGUAUUUUUG